CUGUCUCCUGAGCUCUUUUGCAGGACAUUUGGCAGCUCUGAGCAGGAAAGGAGCAGAGAGACUGAAAAGAUUUGUCAUGGUUCCUCAGAUCCUCAAAAGGUUCUACAGCUGCACCAUCGAGGGCAUCCUGACUGGUUGCAUCACUGCCUGGUAUGGCAACUGCUCGGCCUCCGACCGCAAGGCACUACAGAGCUUUCUCCAGCAAGACUUUCCGUGCAUUUACUGUAAUCCUUUAUACACCCCAAACACAGACGUGUGGCCGGAUGACAACACACAUCCAGACCUCCGGUCUUCAUCGUCCUGCCGACAGAGUACCGGUGAUUAUAAAUCUGCGUGAUUGGGCCUUUCCCUUGGCCAAUUAGAUGAGGUGAAAUAUGGGAGGUCACGCCUGCUGUGGAGGCAGCAUGCAACCAGCGCUCUGUUUACUUAAAUGUCCCUUAUCAGCCCCCAUCAGAGGACCUGGGACACAAAGAGAAGGGGCCCAGAUUGUGUCCCUUUGUUCACAGAAAUGUGCCCUUUCUACAAGAUUUCCUCCCUUGCGUUUUGUGGCAUUCCUUUAGCAACGGACAUCGACAUUGUUAAGAUAAAUAGAACAGUUGGAUAAUGGAUGAAGAUAUUCUAAACCUUUUGAAUUUGUAUAGUUCAUCAGAUAUUGACUGAAUUAUAGUUCAGGGAUUCUGGUGGGAAUUCAGGUAUUCAAUUUAUUGUCAAAUGGCACUUUUCUGGGGGGGAAUGCACUCAUAUUUACCUUUUCUUAUUGUUUAAGGUAUUUUUUAUUUUAUGUUAAAAUAACGAAAAACAAAUGUGCCUACUUUGCAUAGACACACUGUCACGUUCCUGACCUGUUUUCCUUUUUCUUGUAUUUAUUUAGUUGGUCAGGGCGUGAGUUGGGUGGGUUUGUCUAUGUUUGAUUUUCUAUGUUGGGAUGUUUGUGUUCAGCCGGGUAUCAUUCUCAAUCAGAGACAGCUGUCAAUCGUUGUCCCUGAUUGAGAAUCAUACUUAGGCAGCCUGGGUUUCACAUGUGUUUUGUGGGUGUUUGUUUCCUGUGUCAGUGUUUGUGCCGCACGGUACUGUUACGGUUAGUUAUUUUGUUAUUUUGUAUUGUAUCUUGUUUUCGUGGAUAUUAAAAUCAUGGAAACUUA